rnacentral:rRNA from 1 species
GACGAACGCUGGCGGCGUGCUUAACACAUGCAAGUCGAACGGAAAGGCCCUGCUUUUGUGGGGUGCUCGAGUGGCGAACGCGGGAGUAACACGUGAGUAACCUGCCCUUCACUUUGGGAUAACUUCAGGAAACUGGGGCUACUACCGUAUAGGAUCUCCUGCUGCAGGGUGGGGGUUGGAAAGUUUCGGCGGGUGGGGAUGGACUCGCGGCUUAUCAGCUUGUUGGUGGGGUAGUGGCUUACCAAGGCUUUGACGGGUAGCCGGCCUGAGAGGGUGGCCGGGCACCUUGGGCCUGCGAUACGCCGCAGACUCCUACGGGAGGCAGAAGUGGGAAAUCUUGCACAGUGGGCCGGAGUCUGAUGCGGCAGCGCCGCGGGCGGGAUGCCGGCCUGCGGGUUGUAAACAGCUUUCGGCUGUGACGAAGCGUGAGUGACGGUACUGGGUAAAGAAGCACCGGCUAACUACGUG